AGAUUGAACGCUGGCGGCAGGCCUAACACACGCAAGUCGAGCGGUAGAGAGGUGCUUGCAUCUCUUGAGAGCGGCGGACGGGUGAGUAAUGCCUAGGAAUCUGCCUAGUGGUGGGGGAUAACGUUCGGAAACGGACGCUAAUACCGCAUACGUCCUACGGGAGAAAGCGGGGGACCUUCGGGCCUCGCGCCAUUAGAUGAGCCUAGGUCGGAUUAGCUAGUUGGUGAGGUAAUGGCUCACCAAGGCGACGAUCCGUAACUGGUCUGAGAGGAUGAUCAGUCACACUGGAACUGAGACACGGGUCCAGACUCCUACGGGAGGCAGCAGUGGGGGAAUAUUGGACAAUGGGCGAAGGCCUGAUCCAGCCAUGCCGCGUGUGUGAAGGUAA
rnacentral:rRNA from 1 species